ensembl:lncRNA
CGCUAACGGAGCUGCAGUCACUCCCAUCCAGAUCUGUCUGGGCUCAGAGGACGGAGCCAUUCAUUCUUCUGCGGUCCGGGCAAAACGUGGAGGAGGAUGAAGCGACUGUGAGGAAAAGAAAGAAGAAGAAGAAGAAGACGAAGAAGAAGAAGAAGAAGAAGAAAUCAAGCCAGGAUCGAGCUGCACACAAACCUCGGAGAAGACGCGAGAAGAUCCUCCAACAGGAUCCUCCAACUUUUCGACUGACUGAGCCAACACUUCCACGUUGAGAGGAGCUGAGAGGACUCUUACAUCACCUGGAUUCAACUGAGGAGAUUUGUCUCUGCGUCCACCACCGGAUUCCACACAAAAGACUCUGAAGAGCUUCUGGGGAUCUUCAGAGGGCCCAGAAUAAGGGCACCAUGAUGAAAGGAGACUUUAUUCUUUCAUUGUUUGAUGGAAGCUGGGAUGUCUAUCAUGUUUAAAACAGU